GUAAAUGUGUUACAGUUUAUCAGUAUAUGGACAUUGUUCUUACAAGGGGCUUCUUACCCCCAUCUUACUCUAUAAAUACCAGAUUGUGUAUUUACUGUAAAAGUUUGUGUGAUUUCAGUGUGUCUGCAGGUCACUCUAGAGGCUUUUAUUGGUGGUUCUGUUGUCCUUCCGUGUUCUUCAACUAAACUUCAAGACAUUGAUGUGAGCUGGAGACACAAUGGUAGCAAAAUCGUAUUUGAUAUUAUUCCACACAGUACUUCACCAGUGACACAGGAUCCAGAGUACAAGAACAGAAUUGAAACUUUCCCUCAGGAGUAUCUGAAAGGAAACUUCUCCAUCAAACUCAACAAUCUUCAACACACCGAUGCAGGACAGUACAUUUGCUACAUCAAAAACUCAGAUGAAUAUCAGACUGUAAAGCUGAUCAUCAAUGUAUCCACUGAACAAGGAAACCAAGGAGAAACAGACCAUGAGGGAAUGGGGCCAUCACUGUCUUUGCUUGUGGUUUGCAUUAUGUCACCUGUGUUACUUAUAUUGCUUAUAAUUUUAAAUGUAGUUUUCUGGAGAAAAAAGUGCUCAAGCAGCCAUGGGCCAGCUGGAAACGGCAUGGGUUUGGCCACUCAUGAGUCUUGAGCCUUUGUACACUAUAUACAUCAGUAAAGGCUGAUAAUCAUGACAAAGCAGUUGGUAAAUGACACAAGUGUACAGCUUUCUUUUUGCAUUAAACAUGGAGUCAGAGGAUGA